rnacentral:lncRNA from 1 species
GAAUCCAUUAUCAAGAUCUAUACCCUGAAAUUCCCUAACCAAUGACCAUAACUGCUUGACUCGAUUACAGAGAUAAGUAUAGCUAAUGUCCUUUCGUAACAAUUUAACGAUCAAUGUCUUCCUCAAUGGCUUACAAAUCCGUCUCUUCUCUUCUUUGGUUAUCCUUAUCUAAGGCCCUUUCAAGUCAAUUUCAUCGGAAUCAUCCUCUGAAUCUGGUUCAUCCGUUAUUUCUUCUUCCUUUGAUGUAUCAUCUUCAUCUACGAUGUUUUCUUUGGUGGCAUUCGUAAGAGCAUUACGAUAGGACAAACGUGGAGACUCUGCUGAGUUGAGUAUUGAUUCUGCUUAUGCAUAGCACUCAGAAAAUUCUACAGGGAGGAAAGUUCCAUCUCCGAUCGAAGCCUUUUUGAGCCCACUUUAUUAGACAAUAGCAUUGAAUCGCCUCCUGCUUCCAGUGGCAGAUCUCUUGCCGAGUCUGC